CACACUUCACCUCUCACACAUACACUUCACCUCUCUUACAUACAUGUACUCCACUGGCCCCACGCAAAACACACAUAAUAUAUUUAAUAAAAUACACUCUUGCACAACACACUUGUUUGAGUAACCACAUCAUUUCACUAUGUCUUACUUGAUAACUCUCUGUUCGUGGAAAAUCUUUGUAUCCUUCUAUAUUAAUACAUAUAAUAUUUAUCAUGUUUUACAGCAUCCUACACAUCUGCAGUCCAAACCUGAUCCAGAACAGUUCUGCCGGGAUGUCCCUGCUGCAGUUUGACCACUGAAGAGAAGUUCUGUUUUACACUUCACCUGGAGAACCACAGAAGUCAUGCAGUGGAGCAUGGAGGUUGUCAGAGUCCACCAAACAGCCAGCUAGUACUGAAAAUGUGAUGACUGAAGAUGACCGUGAUGAGAAGAGCGUAGAGGAAGUUCAUAAGGGACAUUGGUGUAGCAUGGUGCUGGGUUCAGAGCCACUGUGAGCUGUUCCAUGGAGGGGUGACAGAGCGUGAAUUUCUCCAGAUGGACGAAGAAAAACAGUCUAAUAUAAUCAAAGACCUCCUGAAAGGAGAGACUGAGAAAGCAAGGGAUGCCUGUGUGUUUGUCUUUGAGGAUAUGGAAACAUUCUUAUUAAAAUGUGUUGAUGAA